rnacentral:rRNA from 1 species
GAUGAACGCUGGCGGCGUGCUUAACACAUGCAAGUCGAACGAGGAAGCCCAGCUUGCUGGGUGGAUUAGUGGCGAACGGGUGAGUAACACGUGAGUAACCUGCCCUUAACUCUGGGAUAAGCCUGGGAAACUGGGUCUAAUACCGGAUAGGAGCGUCCACCGCAUGGUGGGUGUUGGAAAGAUUUAUCGGUUUUGGAUGGACUCGCGGCCUAUCAGCUUGUUGGUGUGGUAAUGGCUCACCAAGGCGACGACGGGUAGCCGGCCUGAGAGGGUGACCGGCCACACUGGGACUGAGACACGGCCCAGACUCCUACGGGAGGCAGCAGUGGGGAAUAUUGCACAAUGGGCGAAAGCCUGAUGCAGCGACGCCGCGUGAGGGAUGACGGCCUUCGGGUUGUAAACCUCUUUCAGUAGGGAAGAAGCGAAAGUGACGGUACCUGCAGAAGAAGCACCGGCUAACUACGUG